rnacentral:lncRNA from 10 species
CAAGAUGUUAGGUAAUAUAUUUAAAGAGAGGAGUGCUCUACCUAAAUGAAGAGGACAUGCCAGUUAAGCUGACAUAAACAUACUAAAUUACUUUAUUGUUAUUGCUGUUGUAAAGUGAAAAAUUCAGACUCCUUGAGCUUGUUUAAAUAGACUACUGUCAGAGAAAUGGAUGUAUACUCCAAAUCAGGAAACAGAAGCUCAAAGAAGUUCAGUAGCUUGCUCAGGGUCAUUUCUGUAAGUAAAUGACAGAGCCAGGAUGGGAACCCAGAUUGGUCUGACUCUAAAGCACAAACUCUUCUUCCCUUUACACCAAGGAUAUAACGAAUCUGUCAGUACUUGAAACAAUUCCGAAAGAUUCUUACUGACAAAAAAUGAUUACUUUUUAGAAAGAUGGAACAUAAUUCUUGCUAAAGCUUUGACAAAAACAAUUCAUAAUUCCUCUAAUUCAGAAAAUACUUUGAUUUAUGAAUACACAAAUUCAAGUGAACAUACACACAUACACAAAAAUAACAUAACUAAGCCUAGACUGAACCCCCCUGCCACUCUUUUUUCUAAACAUUUACCAGGACAUGAAAGAAAAAUAGACUAAAAUCUGUAAAAACAUUAAGUAAGAUAUCAUCAAUUCAUUUUCCACUGUACUGAAAGAAACACCAACCUUAUUAAUGGCACAUGCGGUCUUCUCCCGGCUGGUGCCACUACUUGUCCUAAUGAUCUUGGAUAGAUCUUCACGAGCAGCAAGUAGAUGUGCCAUUGUAAUCGUUGUCUUGGGUGACAAAGCAUAACGCUUAGGCUGAUAAAUUCUUGCUAUAUCAUCUGUUUUUACCUAAAUGACAAGAGUUAAGGAAAAAAGGAACAAAAGUACAUUUUAAUGAAAGAGCAAAAACAAUCAUAAUCUUUAGAAAUAAAGAAAAGGAGAUAAUGCAUAAGCAAGGAGUUAGAAAAGAGCAAAAACACCCAAAUAUCUGAGAAUUUAUGAAUAAUUUAGAACAAAUAAAAUAGACCAACAGGUGUUAAAAAUAUGUAACUACCAGCAACAACUCGCUAAAAAAUAAUAACAAAAAAAUUUCUAUACAUAUUAACAAAAAAUACCUAAAAAAUAGUUUUACCAAAACCACAUACAGGACAUUUAAAAGGGAAACAUCAGUAAAUCUUGCAAAAACAAAAGGAAAACUUGUAUAAAUGGUAAGAAAUACCAAGUUUCUGUAUGGGAACAUUAAGUAUUAUUGUCAGUUUUCCCCCAAAUUAACUUAUAAUCCUAUAUAAAUAGUUUUUGAGAGAAUGAAAAAAAAAUCUAAAGUUAAAUCCAGAAACUCAAUAUGUAAGAAUAACUAAAAGCAUUUUGAAAUAUAAUCCUACAAGUGACCCCAACUGAUCCAGCAUGGGGCAGAAGAACUGCCCAGUUAAUUCAAAAAAUGUAAAAAUAAUAAUACCUGAAAUUCCACUUUCAGUCAAGAUACAGUAAUCGGCACCAGAUUAACUCUCCCACCUGAAACAACUAAAAAACUGGAUAACCCAUGUGAUGUGAACCAAUGAUGGUCAGACACUGGACAUCAAGGAACACAGGACAAUGAUCCCUAAAUGAGGAGAAGCCCUAUAAUUAUCUCAGCUUACUGCCUGGAGAGUUUCCAGGCAAUGAUGCAGGGUAGGGAGAGCGGGGGUGAGGAGUGAUCCCAGACUAAGCAUGGGUACAGAUUAAAGGCAUAAAAUGGGAAUGAUGGGAGACAGCUCUUUAGAAAGCUAUCUGAAGAGAUUCAAAUUUGGAAAUGCCCUCACCUCCCAACCCCCUCUUCAACUGAAACACAUUCUAUAUUCAUCCAGCCUUAAGAUACUUUUAAGGCCUGUUGGCAUCAGUACUACCUGCAACUAUUCUUAUAUCCUGCUUUCUUCUUACACUGCUCACUGUAUCUAUCUCAUUAUCUCAUAUGAUGCCCCUUCUUUUAUGCAUAUCCUGGCAUAAAUCACAAUAUCUAUGAGUUUAAAAUAAAUGUCAAAAAUGUGGGGAGAAAUUAAGUUAUAUGCAACAGGGAUUUAUACAAGACCAGGAUCAUCUUGUAAGACCAGUAGUUGGCCUGGGCAUGUAGUUGAGAUGGUGAUGAAGUACAAAUGUGGCAUGGUUACAUAACAGACAAGCAAGCCAGAAGAGCUGUUAUAGGCUACCACCUACAGGACACAUAUGGGAAAACAGCCUUACCUUUGCUCUAUCAGACCAUCCAAAGGACUGUACAGUCACAUCUAAUCGUUUCAUUAACAUUCGUCGGCGGCACUCAUAUUCACAGGAAAGAGCAUCAUUGAUUCUUUCCAGUUGUUCCUAAAAAAUUUGGAAACAAAAAUAAUAAACUUUAGAUUCUUUCAUUCUGCAAAGAAAAGAAAUCUGAAAAUUGUGCUAAGUACUUCCUACUGAGUCAAAAGAUGUACUUACUGACCAUUUUCUGUUCCCAUGAGACUUUAUGGUAAAUUAUUUAAAUACUAAAGCAUAAUUGAAAGAACAUUUAUGAUAUCCAGAAGACAUUAAACAUACAAAUUAAACUCCACCCGUUGGUAGAGUAUACUUUAUCUAUAAUCAAAUUUGUUAAUUUAAGUAAAACAUUUACCUGCUAAGCAGUCUGGACCAACAAGGAAAGAAAAUACCAAUAACUCAUCUUGCUGGCUUUGAGCCUCUGUUCUUUUCAAAUCACAACUGUGCUAGCACAUUGAGCACUAUCAAUAUCCUCAGCCAGGUAUUUUUAAAAAUUAAUAAUUUAACUAAAGAAAUG